AUGUACAGGCUUACCACCCUGAAGGCAUCUGAUCUCAGAAACUAAGCAGGGUCGAGCCUGGUUAGUACUUGGAUGGAAGACUGGCCAGGAAUACUGGCGCUGCAGCCU
rnacentral:rRNA from 1 species